UACAGAGGGUGCGAGCGUUAAUCGGAAUUACUGGGCGUAAAGCGUGCGUAGACGGUUAUUUAAGUCGGAUGUGAAAGCUCCGAGCUCAACUCGGAAAUGGCAUUGGAAACUACCUUGCUCGAGGGUUUGAGGGGGGACUGGAAUACUUGGUGUAGCAGUGAAAUGCGUAGAUAUCAAGUAGAACACCAGUGGCGAAGGCGAGUCCCUGGAAAACUCCUGACACUGAGGCACGAAAGCUAGGGGAGCAAACAGG
rnacentral:rRNA from 1 species